AAUGAUGUGAAAAUGUACCAGUUGUGCU
rnacentral:sRNA from 1 species